rnacentral:lncRNA from 1 species
UUGGUUUUCAUUAAUGAUUGACCUUUUUUUUUAAAAAAAAAAUAGGUAGCAAGUUACCUGCUUCAUUUAUUAAGCAAAAUGAAUUUAGCGUACAAUUUGGAAACAGCUAGGGCCUCCGAACCGAGGGAACAAGAAGAGAAAGAUAAGAGAAAAAAAAUAAGAGAACAAAAACCAGAUUCAUGAGACCCAGUAAACACGAGCAAACCAAAAAUAAACAAAGGGGUGACCAAAGGCAGGGCACCAAGGCCGGGAGAUAAUCAAAGUGCUUCGUUCCAGGCUUCGAUCAAAACGGCGACACGUUCGAGAGGCCUGAAAACCAGGUCCAUGAUUG